rnacentral:rRNA from 1 species
GCGGCGGACGGGUGAGUAAUGCCUAGGAAUCUGCCUGGUAGUGGGGGACAACGUUCCGAAAGGGGCGCUAAUACCGCAUACGUCCUACGGGAGAAAGUGGGGGAUCUUCGGACCUCACGCUAUCAGAUGAGCCUAGGUCGGAUUAGCUAGUUGGUGGGGUAAUGGCUCACCAAGGCGACGAUCCGUAACUGGUCUGAGAGGAUGAUCAGUCACACUGGAACUGAGACACGGUCCAGACUCCUACGGGAGGCAGCAGUGGGGAAUAUUGGACAAUGGGCGAAAGCCUGAUCCAGCCAUGCCGCGUGUGUGAAGAAGGUCUUCGGAUUGUAAAGCACUUUAAGUUGGGAGGAAGGGCAGUAAGCGAAUACCUUGCUGUUUUGACGUUACCAACAGAAUAAGCACCGGCUAACUCUGUGCCAGCAGCCGCGGUAAUACAGAGGGUGCGAGCGUUAAUCGGAAUUACUGGGCGUAAAGCGCGCGUAGGUGGUUCGUUAAGUUGGAUGUGAAAGCCCCGGGCUCAACCUGGGAACUGCAUCCAAAACUGGCGAGCUAGAGUACGGUAGAGGGUGGUGGAAUUUCCUGUGUAGCGGUGAAAUGCGUAGAUAUAGGAAGGAACACCAGUGGCGAAGGCGACCACCUGGACUGAUACUGACACUGAGGUGCGAAAGCGUGGGGAGCAAACAGGAUUACAUACCCUGCUAGGCCACGCCGUACACGAUGUCAACUAUCCGUUGGAAUCCUUGAGAUUUUAUUGGCGCAGCUAACGCAUUAAGUUGACCGCCUGGGGAGGACGGCCGCAGGGUUAGAACUCAAAUGAAUUGACGUGGGCCCGCAC